CUAUUGUUUCCCCGUUGCCGCAAAAUCGGCAGCCGGGUUUGGAAGCCCGGAAA
rnacentral:ncRNA from 1 species